AAGGCUCCUGAGUCCUUGCUCUGCACCCCUCAUCAAGCAGAGACCCCCCACUUAAAGGGUAUUUAUUGAAAUCCUUGAAAUCCAUAGGAUUCUCUUUCUCCUUCCCUGUGGUGCACAAUGGACUGGGUGUAACAUUCGGAGGUUCCCCCAAGAUGCUCCAUUGAGAACCGGGAUCCAGAGGCCCCAUAUCGGGAGUUGGCGAAUCCUCCAGAGGCCAGUAAAGUUUUGGUGCCAAGGGAUUGCAUUCAAUAAGGAGGCCGGACACGACAGUACUCCCUGAGUCCCGGGAAGAGGAAGGACGUCUCUCUCUUACACAGGGUUUCCCGCUUGGUGAACCCAGGUGUCUCCGGUUACAUGAGGGUUCAGCCUGAGCUGUGGACAAGUAGGACACCGGAGAGUUGAUGCCACGCUUUGCCUAGACAAGAUGACGUCAGUUCCCCAUGUUCCUUCUCCUCCACAGAAGGCCUCUCAUCUUCUAGGCCUGGCAGCCAAGACUGCUGUACUAUUACCUCGAUUCUCAUCGCCAUGGAGACCACAGGAUCCUGGGAUAUCUGCCUAGGUUUAAUAGACACCGCCCAGGGAGCACAUGCAGACUGUAAACUGCUGAGCUCUGGACUUGCUGUAAGCUGAUGUGAGCCAUUCCAGCCGAUGUGGUUGCUCCCUGUCCCUUUACCUAGAUCAACUGAUCAGAUGCGCCUGAUAAAUGCCCUGUUGCCCAGCCUUUGCUUACCCUUUCAGCAUUCCUGGACCCUGACGACCAACACCCCAGUUUCAACUGGAAGUAUUUACAGAACAGAGUUCAUUGUCCCUGGUCCUUAACAGGCUGAAAAUCCAGAAACCUGUUUUCGACCCUGGCAAUAUCACCCUACUCCUUGGUAUACACCUAUGUCCUUGCAAGAUCAAAGAGAACGCCCUCUCGGCUGCCCCCACAUCAGCUUGGUUUGCCUGUACCUUUGGCUUAACACCCUGGCAUUCCCUAGUACAUUCCACUGAGAAUUAGUUCAUAUUGUACCUCAAAUCCUAUACAAUGAAGGGGAGGCACCAGGUGGCGGUGGCGCACGCCUUUAAUCCCUGCACUCGGGAGGCAGAGGCAGGCAGAUCUCUGUGAAUUCGAGACCAGCCUGGUCUACAGGGCUAGUUCCAGGACAGGCUCCAAAGCCACAGAGAAACCCUGUCUCGAAAAACCAA